rnacentral:snRNA from 1 species
GUGCUCACCUCGGCGGCACAUAUAUUAAAAUUGGAGCGAUACAGAGAAGAUUAGCAUGGCCUCUGUGCAAGGUUGACAUGCAAAUUCGUGAAACGUUCCAUGUUUUU